AUGCAGUCGAACGGCAGCAUAGGAGCUUGCUCCUGAUGGCGAGUGGCGAACGGGUGAGUAAUAUAUCGGAACGUGCCCUAGAGUGGGGGAUAACUAGUCGAAAGACUAGCUAAUACCGCAUACGAUCUACGGAUGAAAGUGGGGGAUCGCAAGACCUCAUGCUCCUGGAGCGGCCGAUAUCUGAUUAGCUAGUUGGUGGGGUAAAAGCCUACCAAGGCAACGAUCAGUAGCUGGUCUGAGAGGACGACCAGCCACACUGGGACUGAGACACGGCCCAGACUCCUACGGGAGGCAGCAGUGGGGAAUUUUGGACAAUGGGGGCAACCCUGAUCCAGCAAUGCCGCGUGAGUGAAGAAGGCCUUCGGGUUGUAAAGCUCUUUUGUCAGGGAAGAAACGGUAGUAGCGAAUAACUAUUACUAAUGACGGUACCUGAAGAAUAAGCACCGGCUAACUACGUGCCAGCAGCCGCGGUAAUACGUAGGGUGCAAGCGUUAAUCGGAAUUACUGGGCGUAAAGCGUGCGCAGGCGGUUGUGUAAGUCAGAUGUGAAAUCCCCGGGCUCAACCUGGGAAUUGCAUUUGAGACUGCACGGCUAGAGUGUGUCAGAGGGGGGUAGAAUUCCACGUGUAGCAGUGAAAUGCGUAGAUAUGUGGAGGAAUACCGAUGGCGAAGGCAGCCCCCUGGGAUAACACUGACGCUCA
rnacentral:rRNA from 1 species